rnacentral:rRNA from 1 species
UACGAAGGGGGCUAGCGUUGCUCGGAAUGACUGGGCGUAAAGGGCGCGUAGGCGGUUUAGACAGUCAGAUGUGAAAUUCCCCGGGCUUAACCUGGGGGCUGCAUUUGAUACGUCUAGGCUUGAGUGAGGAAGAGGGUUGUGGAAUUCCCAGUGUAGAGGUGAAAUUCGUAGAUAUUGGGAAGAACACCGGUGGCGAAGGCGGCUCUCUAGUACGGUACUGACGCUGAGACGCGAAAGCGUGGGGAGCGAACAGG